GAGGACUUUCCCCAGAGGAAGUGGCCUCACCUAGGGAGACAGGCACAGGUACCCAAGGAGCAGGUGAGCGGCUGACGGGCUGCGACAGCGCGAAAACAAGUCUUUCGGAGUCCCCACCGUCCCCCUUGUUGGUUAGUGAAGGUUUGGGCCCCUCCUCCUCAUCUGUGUCACCUUGCAGAUUCUUUCUACUUACCCUGGCCUCUCAAGUCCUUGACUCCGUGUCCCCGACACCAAAGUUGUUUCUUCCUCCAUAAUCAUUCCUUUCUUCCUCAAGGUAAUAACAUUCCUUGGGCGUCUUGAGCAAAGUGCGCCUUUCCCACUGUCAGACAUUGGGUUGGAGGGGAGUGUUGGAAGGGGGCAGUCUGGCCCACUGCUGACCCCUAGGACCUAGGACUUGGGACUGGGUGUGUGUGGUCUGGGAGUUUUGCGUCCGGUAAACGACGUGUGGAGCUGUUGGGCUAUCCAUGACCCUGAGGAAGGAAGAGCCUUUUGGGGAGGUGGAUUUGGAGCCCUGCUUACAGUGGUUAAGAGGUUGCACUAACUGCCCCUGCGGGGGUGAUACCCAUUUCUCGCUCCCAGCCACACCUCCAGGCUUUCCAUUUUACCUCACCUUCCCCCUUCCUUGAAGUCCUUUUCCCACUUUGCUUGAGGGGACGUUCCUUGGUCUUUUCUCAGUGGGUCCCCCUGAACCUCGCCUUCUCCACCUGAGAUGGUGGCAGGAUUAGCCUUAGACCUUUCCUCUUUUUCUCGUCACCCCGCUAAGUGAAGUUAUUGAGGCUGUCGGUUCAAUCCUGUGGGCUGACUCUCCAAACUGCUGUCUCCAGUCCGUUUUUCUGGACACAAGGCCCAAAUGGCAAUCUACCUUAUAUACAUCCACACGUGGGUGUCUAAUAACGAUCUCAAAUUGAGCCUGGUCAAGAUAAAAUUACUGAUGAUCAUGCUUCAAAAAACUUGAUCAUCCAUCAGCAUUCCCCAUUUCCAGGGAAGGAGCCGGCUUUGACCCUGUUUUCUCCCCCAUCUCCUAUCUGGUUCAUGGCUAAAUCCCAUUGCUCCCCACUGCUCCACUCCUCCUUCUCUAAACUACUGCCAAGAGCCUAAGAAGGGAUCCCCUGUUGUUUCUGUGGUUUGCUAUUGCUAUCCUGGCAAUAGCCAACUGAUAAACUUUCAUGGGAACUUUUAUAAUUCACAAAGACUUACAAUUUUUUGUCUAGGAAACUGGCAGUGAUACAUAGAGAGAUAGAGGCUAUGAAAUAUGCAUUUGGCAAAGGUUCAGGAAACAGGAAUACUAGUUUACUGCUGGUAAGAGUGUAAAUUGGUCGCAAGUUGUUUGGAAGUCUUAUUUGGCUGUAUGUGUCAAAAUCCUUACACGAACUCAAUAAUUCUAUUACUAAAAAAUUAUUCUAAGAGGGGUGCCUGGGUGACUCAGUCAGUUGAGCAUCUGAUUUCAGCUCAGGUCAUGACCUCACAGUUUGUGGGUUCAAGCACAGUUUAUGCUGACAUCGCAGAGCCUGCUUGGAUUCUGUCUCCCUCUCUCUGCCCCUCCCCCACUCGCACACACACACACACACACACACACACACACNNNNNNNNNNNNNNNNNNNNNNNNNNNNNNNNNNNNNNNNNNNNNNNNNNNNCUCUCUCUCUCUCUCUCUCUCUCUCUCUCAAAAAUAAACCUUAAAAAUAAAAAUUUAUUCUAUAAAACAAUAACAUGCACAAGAUAAUUAUUGACAAGGAUAUUCACUAAAAUGUUACUUCAAAGGUCGGUGAAAUGUAAACUUCAGCAGGAGACAUUGUUGCUUUAUAACUUCCAAAUGAUACACAUGACAGCAUUUCUGACAGAAGCAUCUGUUACGUGGAAUGCUUGGCAAUGUGUCAGGCAAGUAGCUCAGGUCUGGCAACAUGGAGUGAAGCUCAGCCAUAGCCUUUUUCUCACCUACCUUGCUCCUGGGGGAGCAGAAAUUCUGCCCUGAAGAAGUGGAGGCAAAAAUGGAAGCAGAAAUAUCAGGUUCUCCAGCAGGGAGGGGGCGCAGGCAGGUACAGGGGCUCUGGCAGGAGGGAGGGAACAACAUUGUUCUAGGGAAACUACAGGAACAUACUGUACUGACUUCAGAAACCUGCUCCCAUGUCAUCAAUGAGUGCCCUUGAUGAAGCACUUGCCCAUGAUGUUAGCUGAUAUCCAGGCUGGGGCUGAAUCAGUGGCCAUCAGAGCUCAAAGGAACCAUUUUCCUCCGGGUCUCCAAGUGAAAAUGAGAUAUAACACCAUGGUCACUCAUGAUGCUAUGCUGUUCUAAGUUCUUUGAACGCAUUCAUUUAUUCAAGAUUUGUAACAAGCCAAAAUGGUGAGGCUCUCAUCAUCAUUCUACAGAAAGGGAGAACAGAAAUGCAGAGCGGCCACAGCUCCUGUGGCAGAGCUGGGGCAUGAACUCAGGAGUUGUCACUCAGGUUCCAUAGCUCAGCCAGUGUGACUUUGAUCCCAACUGGUUUUUAGCCUUGCUCUCAAAUGCCUUCUCUGUCUCACUGCCUUGCUCUGGGAAAAGGAGCAGGCUGAGGGCUGGGAGUAGGUAAAUUGUCCUGACUGGCCACAUCACGGACUGCUUCAAAAUAUAAGAUUUCUUCUUGAUGCCAAGACCCCUUUUGGGCAGGGCUGAAGCAGACAAUGAGCCUGGAGAAGUAUGAGCCACAGAUGUCUCGCCAGGCAUGAGCCUCGUUGUGUCAUCUCAUCAUGGGGGCUGGAGACUGACGGGCAGGAGGCCUGCUGGGCUGGCUAUCACUGAGUCUCCAUUUUCUUCUCCACCAGGGCACAGGCCUGCUACUGUCUAUUCGUGGAGGUUGUAAGUCAGCAUGAAGGCCCAUUGACUGAAGUUGUGGGACUUUGCCCCCCCGGACACUGAGGGCAAUGCCAUGCCAAUGCACAAUGAAACAAUACACUGAGGACUCUUGAAACAGGUCAGUGCCCCAGCCCCAGAGUCAUGGUGACUUACUUGUUUCUCUUCAAACUCAGAAUCCUAGGACUCCUUGCCCAGUUCUCUGGGAUAGUCUUACAGGUAAUGUUAGCUGUUGCUAAGAAUCCUGUACCCAUGAGUCUUUUUGUAGCAUCCUUUGCUUAGUAUCCAACCGAUCCCUUCCACCCUGGCUUUGAGACAGUCCUUUGUUGGAUAUGCAAUUUCUGGUUUUUAACUUGUAAUGGAUCUUCCAACAAGCAUGGCACAAAAGCAGAAAACCAUCUGCUGAAGACAAGACUGAGUGGUUAAAUUAUAACAGUAACCAGCAAUAUUAGAAUGAAGAGAAGUAACCUUUUUUGGGGGUUUGAUACAGAACUAUAUCACAUGUCUCCGGAGGGCAUGAGUUCACGGACACAGCCCGGCUUUCCAAGUCACCCUGUAAAGCGUACAGACCCUAAAAUGUUUUUAUUAAUAUAAUAUUUUAUUAAUGCUUUGUACAUUUGCCUAUACAAAAUUAACCUCUGAACCAUUGAACUUCAUUUUUAGAUUUUAUAGCUUUUCCUACCCUGUGGGAUAGAUAAGUAGGUCAGCAGGUCAACCAUUUAAUGGUGCACUAAUAAAAAAUGUGGAGCUAAUUAAAUGUAAAGGGUAGUGCCACACCUAUUAUUUCUAGGGUCUCUUUUGCACAUGAUUGCCAUGUCAGGGCGGUAAGGUGAGGGGGCAAGCCUCUGGGGCUGGUGGCUAUCCAGGAAAUGCCAAAAUGUGUUGGGUGUAAAACCACGCUGAGUCUUGGUUUUUUGACAUCGAAAAGGCUUGUAUGAAGAGAUUGGCCUCUGGGCUGAGGCUGAAUCCCAAGUACUUGAGAGGAAGACCUGGGCACAAGGCCACAGACAGAGAAUGUUCAAGGGCAUAGGAGGCCAGCCCUUUCAGGAUACAACACAAAUGUAGUAAAACUACAAAGGAAAUCAAGGAAAUCACGAAAACGGAAGAUAAAAGUGGACCUCAGAGUGGGUCAGGGGGUUAUGUCCACAUCCAGUGCCAAUGUUUUUCACCCUUGAGAUGGCACGCAGAAGACAUCUGAGAUAAUGGUGUGUUCUAUUUCAUAGGCUGAGUCUUUACUUACAAAGAUACUGGCCUUUAUUAGUGCUCUUUAUAUCUUACCUUUAUAACCUCUCAUAUACAAAAUAUCCCACUACUUCUUUUAAGGUGAGAAACACGAUUACAUACAAAAACUUGAAUCACAACAAAAUUUGUGCAAGCCUAGGACACAACGCUGGAGUCUUCCUGACAUAAAUGUCUUAUGCAAAUAUGGUCCAGGAAAAACUCACCUUCAAGAUGAGUUAAGGAAAAAGAAGCAGCAAAGGGUCACUUUGAAGAUGCCGCACAGAAAGAGAAGUAAAGGAAACACAUAUGGAUGAGUAAGAAAACCUGCUAUGAGUCACCUGGAAAGUUUGACCGAACAUCUUGUCUCACAUGACACAAACUGAUAAAGGAGUUACCUCUGCAAACAAGGGACACAUGCUUUGAUACAAGAGCCGAGGAGAAGGUGGCAGGACCUCAGAGGAAGUGAAACGUGACCUGGCAGAGCUCAGGGAUGGAAAAGCCCACUUGGGAAUGAUUUCCUCUGGGAGUAGGCAGUGGGAGAAGGAGAAAGGGAGUCGCUGUUUUCUGUCAUGCAGCCUUAGAGAGAUAUUUGGUUCUUCAAACUAUGUGAUAUGUAACUAUGAUUUGAAACACUUACAAAGAGCCUCUUUCUUCACUCCCACCCAAUAUCGGAGCCAGGGCUCAGAUUCCCUUGCAAGAAUGCCAAGGAGUCUGCUCACAUUCACAUGUCUACAGUGGCCAGGAGGCUCAUUAUAUGACUGCUUUGCAAUGGAGGAGGCCUUCAUUAGGACAAGCUGUUCUGUCCCCUUGCCCUAUUACUCCCUUACUAGCUGGUUCUAUAUCUCUGCUUCCUGGGGCUCCAUGAACUUCUAGGCUCCCUCUCAUGGGUCUUUUACGCUUAUUCCUUAACCUAAGCUUUUAAAACCCCAAAUCCCUUAUCACCCAGGUAGUACAGCAUUGGUCCCUAGGUUCAUAGGCCCUGACCUCAAGGCCCUCUUUCUCCUGUCAAAAGUACCCUGGCCAUCCCUUCCCUAGAACCCUGAGCCUCCAUUUGAGCCGCCAUUUCUUUGUGUUCUGGAUCAUUGCCUGAGGACAUCUGAGCACUGAAUUAAAGAUGGGGAUGUGGAGACCUGGAAGUGAUGCAGAGACAACAGUUUAGGUUGUAUAGCAUUGCCACAGAAACAUCCUGUCAUGUGUUCUGGGUGCAGCUUCACUGGGGUGGGACUAGGGAAAGAUCAGGAGGUGUGCCAGUCUCCACCCACACAGUGUUUCUGAGCAGCUGUUCUCCUGUUAGGGGUCUUCUCUCCCCUAAUCUUCCCAGACCAUUGGGUCCCUGGGAAGCAUCAGGUUCCUGGGGCUCAGUGAGGAGUUGGGGAGGUCCAGGAUUGAGGGGUCACCCCACUUCUAGCUCAGUGUGUGAGAGAGGCAGAAUGAGUGUCAGACCAGGAGCCCAUCACAGGAUAGACACCAGCUAAAGGAGGUCAUUGGAGGGACCCUCAGAGUGAAAGACAGAGUGAGUGAAGUGAGGAGGUUCACUGUGUAUCAGAGAAGACCAGAGAGUAGAGAAGCAAGUCUGGGAAUGGAAGUGCAUGAAGAGGGCUGGAUAUGCUAGGAGGCCCAUGUGGCCCCAAGAACUCAACACCUCUGACUCUGGCCUACAAGAGGCCCAAGACUUCAAGGUGUGGCAAGGUCAGGGCUUUUAAUGAAAUAACAUCUGUUAAGAAGGACUGGGCAAUUUAAGGUCUAUGCUGCCUGUGCAUCCAUGGUCUGGGCCACUUCUUGAUGUGUUCUGGAAGGCAGUGCUUAUUACCACUUUAUUCUUGGAGACAUUGAGUGAAUCAACGAUGAACUGAGCCAAAGUUUAAAAAUACCUGCACAGAAAUAUAGCAAGUGCCUAGAGUAUGGCCAGAUUGUGAAUAGAAGGCUAAAGCAGCAGAAUUACCUUUUGAAAACCCCACAAGGCUGGAAUCUAAAAUUCAGCUCUCAGAAGAUAUAUUCAUAAAAUCUUUCCAGAAAAAUCACAUCUGAGUCAAGAGGGCUCUUUUGACCCACCUUCUGGAAUUAGGAAAGUACUUCACAACCAAUCAGCAAUGUUCAAACUGGUUCUGUAGCUUCUAAAUGUGCCUGAGAAUGGGACUCUGCCUCACCUAGGGAAUCCCCCAAGAGGCCUCAAAGCAGUUAAUCUGGGUGCAGAAGGUGCAAGGCCACACUUGCUGGUGCUCCAGAGGGGUACACCAGCCUGCAGAGGCCCAUAGGGCUAGAGUGAGCAGCGGUGAUGGCCUUAGAUAUGCAGAAAGGAUGAGAGAAAUGAAAGGUAUGAAAAAGUGCAGAAAUACCAAGCAACAAGCAAAAACCAUCUGAGCAAGUAAAAACUUACAAGGAGUCAAGGACUGGAGGAAAAAUGACAAAACUGUGGACCCAUCUGGAAUGCAGGCGAGCUUUUCUUUAGUACCAGAGAGCCCCUGACCUCCUCACCCCUGCCAGUGGCUACAGGGCAAACUCUGGCCAAGGACAGGACAGAAGUGACAACACCAAGAAAGUAUUCAUAGCAAGCACAAAUUUUGAAACAAGUGUUUCAAAGACAAGCAGUGUAAAAUCAUUUCUAGGGAGACCUGAGGGCGGGGGUCUCAAGGCAAUGCUUCCUCUCUUUUUCCCAGAGUGGAAUUUGGGCUGGAAGAGGGGCCUCCCUCUGACCUCCAUUUCACUUAGGGAUUGAGAACUUUAGUAUAAAUGUAAUUCUUUUCAAGAAUGCUUUUUUUCCCUUCCAGUUUCUAGAAUUUUUUGUGAAGCAAAUGUUUUAUGAAUCUGUGCCAAAGAUAUGUUUAAGGUUCUUCCUACUUGUGUAUCUGUGGCUUCAUGUGAAAGAAAACUUUCAAAAUUAAGAUUAGUAAAAAGAAUGCUUUUGUUUUAUGUCAUUUAAAAGAAGCUCCCACAGAGAGUCUGCUGUGCCCUGCGGGAUGGGCACCGUUCAUCUUGUCAGAAGGAACUGGGAUGUGAAGAAUCCCCAGAGUUCAUGACCAUGUUCCUGCUGGACCCUUGACAAAAGCAAGGUUGUCACUUGUCAUCCCAUUUGGCCCUCAGGACUGUGCUGUGUGGGAAGCAGUGUCCCCAAGGGUCACUGAAGUUAUCAUGCCCCCUCCUCCACAGCGAGGACGGUGUCAGGAGAGCCAGCACAGGAGAGCUCAUGGUGCUUGGGUGGGUUCUGAGCACUUAGUGCUUUACCUCUGUCAGAGCUUACAGUUUUUGAAGUGAAAGAAAACCCUGAGACACCGGGUCGCUUGCUCAAGAUCCCACAACUAGCUUGUGACUGAGAGGUCCUGUCUUCCGGCUCCCAGGACUCCUGCCGCCUGUACUUGCCCUUGGUGCACUUACCUCAGUCUCACUCUGCUGUCGCCUCAAGCAAUGGGCAAGGGGGCCCCAGCAGAGUGACUUCUCCACUAGAGCAGAGUAGGUGGCAUGUGAAGUGAGGCCAAAUGUUUGAUCAUGGAGGGGGCUGUCAACUUAGGGGCGGAUCCAUGGGUGAUGGGGUUUAUCAUCUCCAUUUGCCCCUCAAGAGGGGUGCACUGUGCUGUCACCCCGCCCCAGAUGCUGAGGCACCCAGAAAUGUUCAGGUUCUUAUUGUUCCCAGGAAUUUUCUCCCCAGUUUUCUUAGGCUCUCUCUGCUUUCUCUGUGUUCUUUUCAGAGCACCUGACUUAAGGGCAAGGAGGUGGGGAGAGUGACCUCAGGGCCAGAGGGGCUGCAAGAGAAGCCCACACGUUACAUCUAGAGGCCACCCCCUGACUCACUGAGCUCAGAGCCACCUACCCCUUUCCCAGUCCCUCUUCCACCUCAUGAAAGCAUGAGUGCUUUCAGGUUGUCAAGAUGCCCUUCGGAGGCCCCGGCUAAGGCUGAUUUUUCACUCUUGUGUUGACACAAUGGUAGGGACAUCCUUGCCUCAGAACAAGUCUGCCCUGUGCACCAUUGGUCUAACCCCAACUGACCACAAAGUUGCCUGGCAUUCAGUUUGGCUGCUGUCUAAAAGGGCAGGCUCAGAAUUUCUGAGAUCAACUCCCCAGAAGACCCAUUGGGUAAACAGUUGUCUUUGUUGCCUGGGACCUGGGCUAUCUGGCUGACUCUGGAAGUGAAUUAAUUCCUUCUGCAAGCUCUUGACUAUCUCUCCAGUGGAUGACCUGGCCAGCAUCUCCCUGGGUAACUGAAAAACUAACCUCUUCUCACAAGCUUCCAGGCCGAUGUCUGCUGUGUCUGAAUCCGGAAGCCAGGAGAAUGCUGGCAGCCCCCUCCUUAUGCUCUGCCUCUGUUGGGAUCUCAGAGGUCCCUAACAGUCUUCAGAAGCAGGUCUACCUAGAGAAACAGUCUUAAUUUGAGGUCCAUGAAGCCCAAGGGUGCCUGACGUUACAUUCAAUAUUGUGUAUGGAGCUGAUGUAUUCAGAAUUGUAUGUAGAUGACGAUGUGUAAUUUCUGAGGAAACGACCAACAGCAUUAGUUCAGUUCUCAAAGGGUCUAGGACCCAUGAAAAGUUAUGAACCAUUUAUCUAAGGAGAUCCAUCCAUCUCUGAAAAGUCCAAGAUUGACUCUCUCUGGAUCCUUUUUCAUUCCUGUUUCCAGAUGCCAAACGGACAAGGAAAGAACUUGUAGGCAACCCUGUGGCCUGGGCUGAAUGGGAGUGUGGGAGGCAGUUCAGGACCCUGUGGACUCCUGAGUGCCAUUCGGGGUCCUACAAAAAUGACUUAAUGACCCCCAUUAAGGGUCAUCAAGCUUCAAGAGUCCAUGAAGUACACGCUAUGGGUGAGGGGUUCUCAGCGAGGGUCCAAGUCUUUUUACUUUGGGCCUAGGAUAGUCCAAAACAGAGUGGCCUGAGGCUGACCCCUGGGUAAUUUGCCCAUGAAGUGACUAAGGCAUAUAACCAUGUUUCCUGUUAGGCUUGUGCACAUUUUACUUUGGGACUCACCCAGUUUUCCUUUGUUUCAAUCUCUUAUACUGAGUCAGCUUGUUUCCUUGGCAACUGGACUUUACUAUUAGGGUGACUUUUUAGACACAGCAACAGGCCAGGCAUUCAAAAUCAGAAACUUCCUAUCAUGUACCUUACCAAUACUGGGGACUUUGGUGGGGGCUAAAAUCUUUGUACAUGGCCUUUUCUGAGCUGGGACCUUGACAGCAGAGGGCCAGGGAGCAGGUGGUGCCCAUUUGGAGGCUGUGUCACUUUCACGAGUCCUAGAAGACAUUUUUCUUUGCUCUGGAUCUACCUAAUGAUCUGUACAUUCUUGGCUGACACCUAAUUUUUCUUGACAAAUGGUUUCAAAAUGUUGCAGUGCUAUUUAGUUAUCUCAUAGGGGUAUUUUGGUGAAAAAUAGACCACUGAGUGGUUCUCAAUGAUUGGUAAUUGGAUUUGUGACACAAAAGCCUACCUGUUCCUACACACAAACUGGAUGGAAACUCAUUGCUUUAUUUAAGGGAUUGCCCCUGACAUUGUCCAGUGUCCAUUCUGGGCCAUCAAUUUAUCUUCUAGGGAAAAAGAAUUUAGGUAACUUAAUUCGAGUAGGAAAAAACUGGGCCUUGACUUACAAACAGAAACCCUAACUACUCAAGGGGAAUUCUAGAUUGCUUUCUUCUUUCCUUAUGUUUCUUCACUUCAUGCUUUACAGGAGGCCCAGAGAAAUGAGCGAUCCCAUGUGCUUUGGACUAACAGGUGAGUUAGAUCAAGCCACUGAAGCAAUAGACCUCCUUGACUAAGAGGUUUGUGAAGAAGGGCUGGGAGUAGGGUGAAGCAGGUAUGGCACUCAGCCUGGGCAUAUUUCAGGGAAUGUCAAAAACCCUGUAAUCAGGCCAAUGUGUUAUUCCAGUGGCAGAGCAGUGGAUUACCUUGUGCCUGGCAAAAUGGAGCUUGAGGUCAUGAGCAGAUACACCAGUCCCGUGAACCUGGCUGUCUUCUCCCAUCUGACUGUAGUGUUGUUGGCCAUAGCAUGUUCUUCACCACCUGGUUCUUCAUUUAUGAAAUUACCUCCACCAAGUACACUCAGGAUAUCUAUAAAAGCUCCUCACCUCCUUGGUGGCCUUGCUUUUCAUGGACUUUGGAGCCUUCUUCUGGCUAUUCUGGGUUGGCAUCUACAUAUAAAGGGUUACAACCAGGUGGCUUCCCCAAAUCCCUGCUUUUGUGAAUUAUUAUUAUUUUUUUACUAUUGCUGGAAGUGUUUCACUUGCAGCUCACAAUAAAGGCAGAUAUGAAACUGAGGGAAAAAAAAAACACCCUGUACUCAAGAUCAUAUUUUAAUAUAAUCUUUUUUAAAAAUCAAAACGAAUGCCAAAAGUCCACGAUAAACAAAAUAUCAUUAAAAUUUUUCAAAGUUUAUUUAUUUUUUGAGAGAGACAGAGAUAGUGCAAGUGGUGGAAGGGCAGAGAGAGAGAGAGAGAGAGAGAGAGAUGGAGUCCCAAGCAGGCUCCAUGCUGCCAAGCGCAGAGCCCGAUGCGGGGCUUGAACCCAUGAAAUUGCAAGAUCAUGACCUGAGCUGAAACCAAGAGUUGGAUGCUGAACCAACUGAGCCACCUAGGCAUCCCAACAAAAUAUCAUUUUAAAUAAAGAAGGAUCAGUUACAGUGCUGUGCUCAGCUAUGUUGGAAGUUGAGGUUGAAGGAAAAAUCAGUAAUGCUGAUCCUGUUUUCAUUUAAAACCAUAUAGAUGCCGAAAGGACCACCCUCAGAUGACACUCAAAUCACAUGGAGAUAUGCAGGGAUGGCCCCAGGUACGAUGGACCAUCCCGGGGUGCUGCAUCCACAGUUCAGUGUCUACACUAAUGGGACAUCGCUAUUGGGCUGCCUUCAUCAGCACAACCUCACUCCCCUAGGAGACACUCAUAAACAACUUUAUUGUUUAUUCCAACAACUUCUGGAAAGACCCAUCAGCAACUCAAUAGGAAGCAGGAAACAACAGUUUAUACAUUAAAACUCUUUGAAC
rnacentral:lncRNA from 1 species